GGCCCUUCAAACUUGAUGCACAUUGACAUCAGUUUUUCCCCCCCAUACUACCGGGUAUGUGUACUGUAUGACUAUAUCUUUCAAAAAUGGAUUACUCAUAUAGGCAAAAAAAGCAGCCAAAGAAAUACUGCUCUAACUGUGGAAGAGAUGGAAAGAAGGUUGGUAAUCAUAAGCGGGUUGGAAAAUUAAUUAAAGACAAAAGAGGAAAGAACAUGACUCAGUUUGUCAAUGCCCUGACAACGGACACGUGGUCAGUACCUGAACGGAAUAGACUGAAGUCCAUUUCCUACCCAGCUAGAGAAGGUCUGUCCCUUCCCCACACCACUCCAUGCAUGCCUGUGAAGAGGAAAACUCCUGCUGAUAAAAUCCGAUGCACCUGUCUGAGAGGCGGCUUUCUGAGUCUGAAUUGUAAUGAAGUACAACAGUAUUCCUUGCAGAGACUAAUGCACCAGAUGUAAGCCUUGCUUCUGCCUGUUCCUUUCAUCGUGAGGGAUGCACUUUGUUCUAGUUCCGAACAUCAGCGUUGGCUUUGCUGGCAGAAAGUAAAAAGAGGGAAUGAAAGAAUGAGAAAGAGAGAGAUUACCAAGGUAUAGUUUGUUAGUCUUAUAAUUUAUGGGUGGAAAGCGCUCUGUUAGAACUGAAUGCAUAUUUU
rnacentral:lncRNA from 1 species